GCAGGAUCUACCACUUUAGCCAUGCUGUGGUGCAGUGUCCUACUCAGAAAGGUACUGAUCACUUAGAGGACAUGUAGUCACUGCCUUUCUGGGUAGAAUGAUGCCCAACAAGAACAACAUUGCUGGUGGCCGGUAGCAGUG
rnacentral:pre_miRNA from 1 species